AAGGCUGUGAUUUUUAAAAACAAUGAACCAAUGACUAAGAUCAGUGUUUUUCAAGUCUGGGGUAAUAGUCACAUAUAAAGGAACUCUUUAAUUUACCUCUUUUUAAAACAGCUCUAGAUUUAUAAAUUUGCUCUGCAAAUUAGUGAGGGCAAAUGUGCAUUUUCCUUUCAUUUUAUGACUGUGAUUUACAAAUUAGGAGUGCACGUGGGCAUUCCCCCAUAGCCUUUUCUGAGAUGAAUCCAGCCAAGACACGAAGCAGAUGAUGGCGGAUCAGCAAAAUCUUCUAGAUGCAGAGAAACCAGAUGUGCUAUGCCUGGGAUGCACCUGCCAGCAAACAGAAGAGCCUUUCUGGUUUGUUCUCAGUGAAGAGUCUGGGUGUUAUAAAAAGGUCUUUGCAUGAGCACUGAGCAGUAACAAAAAAAAGGUCAAAGAAAAUUUAGUUCUUGGACAAAAUGAUUAAUAUUUACAUGUAAUAUUUAAUUAUGUGUUAAAAUAUCAUGUUCAGACAGGCAUAGCAUUUCUGAAUUUCAAAAUAGAGAAGAAGAUUAUAUCCAGAGACAUAUGUAAGACAUAAGCAAGAGCUUCACCUUAAAAAUGGCCAGAUCUCCAUUCAUACCAAGGACGGAGUAAUAGGGAAUUCUUAGAGUAGAUCAGCUGACAACUUGUGCUUAGAAGAAAGCCAUCAUAGAUCAUAGAUGCUGUAUUAAAUUAAACAAAGUUAGUUCUGCAGAGCAAAGUGAAUCAGCUGGGCUUUCUCUUUUAAAUUUCCUAAUUUUAUUCUUAUUAAUAGUCUGAGUGGUAAUCAAUGAAACAUUCCUAUAUCAGAUGUCUUACCUAUCAGAUUCUUUGAUUCAAAAAUCCUCUUCAGUUUUCUGUUAUUAAUCUCUUAAGGAGAUAAAAUAUAAUCAUUUUGUAUUUCAUGAUCAUUAUUUUAGAUAUUUCCAUAAAAGGAAAGAAAAAAGAACAGUAGUUCAGAAAAAUGAACCACCUUAUUUUUUAACUGAUCAAAAUAGAGAUUUUCUUUUAAAUUGUUUAAAUUCCUAGAAAUUAAAUUUUAUUUUUUAUGGUUAUUAUUUAAAGAUAAUAUUUAGAGGAAAAUUGCAGGUUAAAGACUAUUUCAAGAGCUUGGUGGGUUUUUUUUUUUCUUUUUACAAUUUGGCCAAAAUUUCUUCCACUAGAAGAAAAGGAAAGAAGUUGGCUAUUUAAUGUUGAUGAGAAAUACCUUUUAUAGAUAUAUUCUGUACCAUGCCCUUUGUCAGAUGAAUUUUCCUUUGUUAUUCCAAAAACUGAGAUGCUGUAUUGAGUAUCUUGAGGGCAAAGUGGAAUAUUGAUUAAGACAAAUGUUAGAAAUUCUGUUGUUCAUUGAAGUUGUUGCUCAGCUUGAUAAACUGGACAGUAUUCUCAGAUACCCUGUGGGUUAUGAAAGCAUUGUUCUUUGAAAAGUUCUAAUCAUACAAAAAUGUGUGCACAGGCCUGAAAAAGCACCUCGUGUCUGUCUAGGCAGUAGAGCAGAGAUGCAUUCUAAAUGAAAGUUGCCCUGUGGUUUUGUAUAUGUAAUUGCAGUUGACACCUUUUUCCUUUCAGUUACCGUUUGAAAAAGGGACUGUGUGAGAAAGCUGAAUUGGAACCAUGUUAUGAAUCCUGGAAUGUAUGCUCAUGCAACGCUGUGAUCUGCAAACAUAUGUCCUCUGUUCAAUAAAUGUUACAGCUUUCACUGCG
rnacentral:lncRNA from 1 species